rnacentral:lncRNA from 1 species
UUUUUUUUCUUUUUUUUUUUAAGAGUGGUUUUAGGUUCAUCACAAAGUUGAAAGGAAGAAAGACCAAUUUCCCAUAUAACCCCUCUAAUCACCUCCCUACACACAUGCACAUAACCUCAGCCAUUAUUAACAUUAAUGCUCUGAUGAAGAAUGUAUUUAUAUUUUCCCACCAGGAAGCUGGUUAUCUUUUAGGGUAUUUGAUCCUUUUCUUUUUUAACACUUGCAUGCUAGCAAACAUACUUAAAUGAAAAAUUUUACUUACUGCAAAAGUCUUUAGAGUUCAGACAUUUAGAAGUAGGACAAGCGCACAGAUACCUGUUCAAAUAUUGAUGUUAGAAUACCAGCAAAAUGGUAUUACUUAGAUAUUCCCUCUUUCUGGUUUCUGGAGAGAAUUCCCUUUUGUGCAAAAAGAUGUUUACAGAUACUAUAACUCUGUUAAUGUUCUCAACUUGGUAAAAAGUGACUGCUUUUACAUUCAAGCCCUUGGUCUCAGCAUCACACUUACUUUUCAAAUAUCUUCUUGAUAGUAACCCCAAGGUUGAAUAAUUCCUGUCAUUAUUGACUUGUAGGGACUCAAUAUCUUCUCUGAGUGACCUACAUGGGGUGGGGUGAGGCAGCGGGGUAGGGAUGCAUGAUUAAAGUUAGAUCAGAAAGUAGAGCUAUUGGGCGGUAAAAAACCACCUUCCCUUAUAAACAUGAACGGCAUGACAUUGAAACAAGUUGAAAUCAUAGGAUUUUGCCAAGAGCAUUCUAGAGUUUGAGAAAAAUUUCCCAAGUUAGUUUUCAAUUGCUUCUUACUGAACUCUGCUAACCAAUUCUCUGCCUUGGAAUAGCAUUCAAGAGAGCAUGAAAACCCAGCAGUGUCGAUAUUGGAAAGCCUCAAACUGUAGUGGGACCAGUUACCAGAGACUCAGAAGCAAUAGUUUACAAAAGAAAAAAGGAAUUGUCAUCAACCACUGCAAAAGAAAGAGCUAAACAGCUUAAAAGUAGAAUAUACAAGAGAAGAAAAGGAAGAAAAUAUGUGCCUGCUUGAAGAAAAAUAUACUCCCUGAUCUUGAUUGCUCAAAAUUGGGAGUUUAAGGGUUCAUUAUUUAAAUGUUAAGCCUUUCUAUGCAUUAAAAAAUACUGACAAGGUCUAAACAAAUUGUUAACAAGUAAUCAGGAGCAUUCUUUGCUAGCCUUAAAUUACCUAUGUGAACAGUGUAUAUUGAGCAUAUAAAUUAGGGGCAAAAUAUUCUAGUUAUGGCACAAUGGGUUCUUUGUCCUUUUUCCACUGAAAGAUUGAAUUAUACUAGUUCCCCAGAAAGAGGCCCCCCAAAAUUAUAUAACUGAAUAUUUGUUUCUUCCUAAAUAAUGAUGCUAUCUUAAAAACUUGAUCUAGAAGCAGAAAAAUACAUUACUUUUCUAUUGUUUUGAGUGGCACGAUUAUAUUGUGCUCUGAGUGGCCAAGCACAAGGUCUUGAAUAACUCUGCCAAUAAUUGACUUGCAACAUUGAUGACAAGUACCAUUGCCUUGUUUGUACAUCCUCAUACAUCUGAAUGAGACAGAGGCAGACGGGUAUGGUGGAAGGAGUCCUGGUCAAGGUGUCAGAGAACAUGGGACCAACCUAUAGGAUUAUAUCACCAGGCACCCAAUGCAUCCUUCUGAGCAAGUUCUGUAAUCCCUUGUGUCCUGCUGCUUCAUUUUUAGAGGGGGCAUGACAAUACCUCCCUCCCUAAACCAGAGAGAUGUGUAAGGUAGUCAUGAUAUGUGUUCACAGAAAAGUGCUCAAGAAAUAUAGGGAGUUGUUCAAAAUGUAGCUCAUAGGUAUCCUUCCCAGUAUGAAAGCUUCUGAACCUUUAUUUAUUUAUUUUUUUUUUGAAUACUACUUUGGACAUUCUGACCCUGAAUCUUGGUCUUCCUCUUCUCCAUCUUCCCUAUUGACCUCUGUGUUGAGGAUGUCAUUCCUAAUUCACCAGCGAAAACUUUCAGAUCUACUUUUGAGUAAAUCCUAAGGCUGCUCCCUUCUUAGCACAUCCAGAGCUCGCAUCGUGGUGCUGGCCUCAUCAUCUCUCACAGGAUGAACCUAACUAUUCUCCUUGCUUCCACAUGUCCUCCCCCAACAGUUUGCUCUCCCCAGAGCAGCCACAGCAGUAUUUUAAAAAUAAAAUUUGGAUCUGGUCACUUCUUGGUUCAAAACCCUCCUGAUGAGUGCUUCUCACACAGAGAAUUUCAUCAGAAGUCCUCACCCCUUCCUGCAGUGCCAGUGGGGGUGGCACACUACCAGUUUUGUGCAGUCCAAGAGCUAAGGAUGGUUUUUACAUUGUUGAAUGAUUGUCAUAUGAAUAUACUACAUAAUUCAAAUUGCAGUGUCCAUAAAGUAUUAGAACAUAGCCAUGUUUAGUCAUUUACAAACUAUCUAUGGUGCUUUCAUUCAUCCACAGAGUUUGGUUGUUCCUAGACACACAUUAUAGCCUGCAAAGCCUAAAAUGUUCACUAGCUAGCUCUUAAUAGAAAAAGUUUGCAACCUCUGCCCACAGGGUAUAAUCCUUCCUCUUUCCUACCAUUCUUCUCAUUGUUGUUCUGCUUCAAUCAUGCUGAUAGCUUAUUCUUUUAUGCUUGUUCUUGCUACAGUGCUAUUUUAUAUGCUGCUUCCUUUUGCCCUUGGAUAUUUUCCUGGAUGUUCUAUGACUUCCUCUUUCAUAUCACUCUAGAAUAUGGUACUUUUCCCAAAAAGGUCUUGACAGUCCUACAGAAAAUAGCACUGUUAUAAAAUUUAAAAUAGUACAUGCGAAUUUUUUAAGCUCUAAUCAUGGUUUGUCAGAGUUCAAACUCUGACUCUUUUAGAUAUUAAAAUCUGGAACUGUUAAAAAUCAGUGUCAAAUAUCACAUACUUGAUAUUGAAUGGCUCAGUUUAGAGGACAACCUGGGAGUGAAAAAUUAUAUGCUUCUUUUUCUUUUUUUUCAGCUCUUCCAAGAGCUUACUAUGUGACUCUGGACAAAUAAUUUAGCAUAAAGGAGCCUCAGUUUUCCUUUCAAUGAUUUAAUGAUAUUCCUUAUGAGCUACAUUAGAAAUAUGAUGGAUAAACAUAGGCAUAUAACGAUUACAUUUUUAAGAAGAACAAGAACAGCAAGAACAAUCAAAUAUCUAUUCAGCAUAUUAUGGCAUAUGCCAUCCUUACCAGGAUUUCAUUCUCUUUAGAAAAGUGACUACCUUUGCCAGAUGACUAUCUUUACUUACAUCUGCAAAGUACAUAUCUAGCAAUGGCACCUUUAUUGGCUUCCUAGGGCUGUCAUAAAAAGUACCACAAACUGGGUAGCUUAAAGCAACAGAAAUGUAUUGUCUCACAGUUUGGGAGGCUAGAAGUUCAAAAUCAAGGUAUUGGCAGGGCCAUGUUCCUCUGAAAUCUGUAAGGGAAUCCUUACUUGCCUUUCCACCUUUUGGUGGUUUUCCAGCAAUCUUCAAUGUUCUUUGGCUUGCAACUGCACAACUAUAACAUUUGCUUUCUUGUCAUAAUGUGUUCUCCCUGUGUCUCUGCCUUUACAUGGUUACCUUCUUAAGCACACCAGUCAUGCUAGAUUAGGAGCUUACCCUAUGCCUGGACGAUCUCUCAAAUUUUACCUAUUCCAUCUGCAAUGAUUCUAUUUCUACUAAGGUCAUAUAGUGAGGUACUGGGGAUGAAGACCUCAAUAUAUCUUUUUUGGGGGAGUGGGAUACAGUAUAACCCAUACAGUACCCAAAAGUGCAAUUGCAAGGAUCUUUAAUACUUAUCUUUGUGAAUACAGGAGAAGUGCUUACUCUAUGAUGGAUAUUCUUUCAUGACAUUUGCUCAUUGUCAUUGUAAACAGCAUUUUUUGAGGAGGUUGGGGGGAGAAAACCAACAUUUGGUACUGUGAUUGUCCAGGUCUUUCAGUGAUAUAUGAUAGUUACUGCUUGAGGCUCGAGUUGAAAAAGAAGAAUGACCAUCUGAUGAUUUCACUGUCAGCCUCAGAUGUGACCCUAACAUACUUAUGAUCACCCCUGGAGUCCCAGAGUCAGCUACAAUGAGACCUUUAGAUUAGAGGACUGGAGUUUUGUCAGUUUGUUCAAAACUAGAAACAUAUCUCAUGAAAUGCUGCUCUUUCACAGACUUUUUUAUAAAAUUCAAUGUUUUCAAUUCUUAGAGCAAGAGAGUUGUGAAUAUAUUAACCAUUUAAUAAGAGAUUGUAAUGACCACAGGGCAGGUUUAAAUUGACAGACAUGAAAAAGUCAAAGAGUUUCCUCAUUGGAUUAGUUUAUUUCUUACCUUUUAAACAGUUCCUGUGACAUAUCAGAUACAGAAAAUACACUAAUAUGCCUUAUAAAGGAACUUACAGUUAUGGCAGUGGAGUUAAGUGGUUGUGCCAACCCUUCCACAGAUAAUAACUAUUAAAAUUGGAUAAAAUAUUUAAAAUCCCAAUAAUUUAAAGACACUGGAUGUGUCCAAUACUGUAUAAAAGCUGGAAAGAGUGUAUUCUUGAAAAAAAAGAAAAAGAAAAACAUAGUUAUAAGGCAUAAGAAUUGGGGGUAAUUUCCAAUCCCCAUGGCUACAGCAGAGUAAAAUGGUGGUAGAAAAACAAAGCCUUGUCAAAUGUUUGCAGAAAUAAGAGUUUAGGAAUGGAAUAGACUUAGAAAUGUAAAGAUGAAGCUAUGAGAGCAAGAUAAUUGCAGAGGAAGGAAACCAAAAACCCAGAGCAUCUGGCUGACAGGUAAGCUAUGCAUGGUGAGGGAAAAUUCUAUAGGGCCCUGCAAAAAGCAGGAAGAGGUCAGAGAGGAAUCUACUCUUGAAAGAUAAAAGAUGCAUAGGGCAAGAUACAUAAUUUUGCUGCUUUUUAAGCUGAAUACAUUUUCCAGUUGCAUGAAACAUAGCAAGCAGAAGGCUGAAGCCUCAGGGAUUUGAAGUGUCAGAAGUGAGAUCCUAAGGAUAUGCCACAGAAGCUAGAUUUAGAAGGAAAUUCCUAGAAGCAAAAAAAAAAAAAUGCAAUAGAAAGGAUAGCCCCAAAAUAUGAAUAAAAUCUUGGCCCAAAUCCCUCAUUGCUGAAUUACACAGGCACAGGGAAGAAAUCCAAGAGGUUAGACUAAUAAAAGCAUUUGGAAUUCAUAAAAACAGUCCAGAGAUAUCAGUAGCUACAUGCUAAAAGAAAAGAUAAAUGUUGCAUUUCACAUUCAGGAAGAUUAACUGAAUAUCGGAAUAAAAGAGGACAACUCUCAGGACAUUAAAAAAUCCACUGUCACAACAAUGUAUUAUCUUUAAUGUCCAGUUUACAACCAAAAAUUACUAGACAUUCAAAGCUACAGAAACUUUGACCCAUAAAAAGGAACAAAGACAGUCAAUAGAAACUGACUUCCUACGGUCCCAGAUAUUGGAUUUAGCAGAUAAAAACUUUGAAGGAGUGAUUAUAAAUAUGCUCAAGUAAGUAAAGAAAGUAUGAUGCCAGUGAGAAAAAGAUAAGAAAAUAAAGAAAUAAAUCUAUAGAAAAAAAUACAACUAAAAAAUUCAAUAAACUUUAAAAAUUAACUCAUAGACCCAACAGUAUAUUGGACAUAGAAUAAAGUAUCAUUAAAUUUGGAGGCUAAUCAACACAAAUUACUCAAUUUGAAGAAUAGAGGGAAAACAAAACAAAACAAAAAGCAAACAAUUGUAGAGUCUAAGACGCUUAUGUGAGAAUAUCAGCUAGGCUAUUAUAUAUGUAGCUGGAGUUACCGAGAGAGAAAGAGAGAGACAGAUGACCUGGAAACAUUUUUCUGAAUAAAAAAAAAAUAGAAUCUUUCCAAAAUUUGAUGGAAAUCAUUAAAUUCAGAUACAAGUGACUUAAUAAACUUCAAACAGGAUUAAAAUAAAGAAAAACAUUAUUCUUAAAUAAUAUUCCUAAAUAUUCCUAAACAUUCCUGAAUACAUUGAGUUAAACUGCUUAUACCCAAAAAUAACAAAUAAAAUCUUGAACUCAGCCAGAGAAAACAUACACAUUAAUAAUAGGUGAAUAAUGCUACAAUUUCCUGACUCCCCUUGAGAAACUAUGGAGGCCAGAAGAUACUGAAAUAACACAAUAAAAUUGCUAAAAGAAAAAAGAAGCUGUAAAUAAUAAAUUCUAUGUUUAAUAAAGCUAUCCUAAAAAUAAAAAUGAAAUUAGAAUAUUUUCAGAUAAUUAAAAGUGAUAAAAUUUAUUACCAGAACUGCAUUAAAGAUAAUGUAAAGGAAAGUGUUCAGGUUAUAUAACAUAUUUCCUUUUCUUAAUUUCUUUCUUUCUUUUUAAAAAGAUUUAAAAGAUUUUAUUUUUUUAUUUAUUCGAGAAAGAGAGAGAACAAGCACAAACAAGCAAGCUCCCUGCUCAGCAGAGAGCCCGAUGCAGGGCUUGAUCCCAGGACCUGGGAUCAUGACCUGAGCCAAAGGCAGACACAUAAUUGACUGAGCUAUCCAGGAACCCCUUCUUAAUUUCUUUAAAAGAGAAAUUAUUGUUUAAAGAAAGAAAAAAACAAAAAACAAAAAAAAC